AGCGCUGUGCGGUUCGGAACG
rnacentral:misc_RNA from 1 species